rnacentral:tRNA from 1 species
GUUUAUAUAGUUUAAUUAUAAAACAAUACAUUUUCAUUGUAUAAAUAAUAUUUAUAUUUAUAAAUA